rnacentral:rRNA from 1 species
AGAGUUCGUAGGUGGUUGAAGAAGUUAGUGGUGAAAUCCCAGAGAAAGCUCUGGAACUGCCAUUAAAACUUUUCAGCUAGAGUAUGAUAGAGGAAAGCAGAAUUUCUAGUGUAGAGGUGAAAUUCGUAGAUAUUAGAAAGAAUACCAAUUGCGAAGGCAGCUUUCUGGAUCAUUACUGACACUGAGGAACGAAAGCAUGGGUAGCGAAGAGGAUUAGAUACCCUCGUAGUCCAUGCCGUAAACGAUGUGUGUUAGACGUUGGAAAUUUAUUUUCAGUGUCGCAGCGAAAGCGAUAAACACACCGCCUGGGGAGUACGACCGCAAGGUUAAAACUCAAAUGAAUUGACGGGGACCCGCACAAGUAGUGGAGCAUGUGGUUUAAUUCGAAGAUACGCGCAGAACCUUACCAACACUUGACAUGUUCGUCGCGACUCUAAGAGAUUAGAGUUUUCGGUUCGGCCGGACGAAACACAGGUGCUGCAUGGCUGUCGUCAGCUCGUGUCGUGAGAUGUUGGGUUAAGUCCCGCAACGAGCGCAACCCUCACUUUUAGUUGCCAUCAUUAAGUUGGGCACUCUGAAAGAACUGCCAGUGAUAAGCUGGAGGAAGGUGGGGAUGACGUCAAGUCCUCAUGGCCCUUACGUGUUGGGCUACACACGUGCUACAAUGGUAUCUACAACAGGAAGCAAGACUGCGAGGUCAAGCAAAUCCUUAAAA